CAACAAAAUAGAAUUUUUAAAUGUUUGCUUACGUAUAGUUAAGUAUUUGUUAAUCUAUUAAUAUUCAAAAUUUUGAAUACAUAAGGUGAUUGAACACGCGGUAUUGCGCGAGUAGCGGCAAAUGUGUCAACUACCUAUUUAAAUUUAUAUUUGUUGAACAGUCGGUAAAGUAGAGAUUAUUAGAUGAUAAAAUCUACGUUUAUGCAGGUAACGUCAAUUUUUAUUUACUUACAAUGAUCCUUAUUGAUUUUUAUAUAAAAUAUCAAGUUUCUAGAAAACAUAAAAUCUUUGUAAUUAUUGCUUAUGAAGAGAAUUUCCUUCAGAAAUGGGAAUAUAGACCGAAGCACGGUAAAUAGCCGAGAAAGCGGUCAUUGCCAGUCUUGGGUCAUUGCUAUACGAGGAGAAAGCUUAUAGGUAAUCAGGUUUUUUACAAUACUAUUCUUCAAAAGUAAAUUACGAAUGUCCAUCAAAGUAACGAAACCAGUCUAACUUGAGCGAAGUGAAAUCUGAAAGAAUGUACUUUUGCAUAAGGUAAGUUCACUCUUCUUAUCUGAAAUAAGGAUAAUAAUAAAUUUCAUGUAACUAUUCGUAAUCAUCCAUAGAUGAUUAACAAGAAGGAAACAAUGAGAGACAGUAGUGAAAGGUUAAGUUUAACGAGGUCAACGACUGACAAUAUAAACAAGCUCAACGAAUGACACGCCGGUUAAUAGGUACAUCCGAGUUUUAUUGUCGCUGCGUGUUACGACGAUUCCUCUGACGAGUAACGUUACCACGAAGCAGAAGUUCGCUGCGUCGUAUGCCACCGUUAUCAGUCAUCAACCUAAUUGCAAUUGACUUGUACUAUAUGUUGGAGACUGUGGUCGUGCAAUGAAAAAACCACCGUGUAUACCAGUGGGGAAAACGAAGUCAAUCUGCGAAAUCGAGCCCAGCAUUAACAUGAAGCCAACAAUUAUGGCGGUCAGCUGUAGGAGGCCACUUUUCUCGUUAGCUCUUUCGCGUGCGAGCACC